UGGGCUCCGGAGCCGAUUUUGCCAUGCUAGUUGCACGAGUUCACACUCGUAGCAUAUAGCUCAGUAACACGUGGUCAAGCUACCCUGCAGACACGGACAACCUCGGGAAACUGAGGCUAAUCCGCGAUACCGAUCCCACGCUGGAAUGCCGGGAUCCACAAACGCUCCGGCGCUGCAGGAUGCGGCUGCGGCCGAUUAGGUAGACGGUGGGGUAACGGCCCACCGUGCCGAUAAUCGGUACGGGUUGUGAGAGCAAGAGCCCGGAGACGGAAUCUGAGACAAGAUUCCGGGCCCUACGGGGCGCAGCAGGCGCGAAACCUUUACACUGCACGCAAGUGCGAUAAGGGGACUCCGAGUGCGAGGGCAUAUAGUCCUCGCUUUUGAGAACCGUAAGGCGGUUCUCGAAUAAGAGCUGGGCAAGACCGGUGCCAGCCGCCGCGGUAAUACCGGCAGCUCAAGUGAUGGCCAAUCUUAUUGGGCCUAAAGCGUCCGUAGCUGGCCACGAAAGUCCGUCGGGAAAUCCAUCUGCCCAACAGAUGGGCGUCCGGCGGAAACUUCGUGGCUUGGGACCGGAAGGCUCGAGGGGUACGUCCGGGGUAGGAGUGAAAUCCCGUAAUCCUGGACGGACCGCCGAUGGCGAAAGCACCUCGAGAAGACGGAUCCGACAGUGAGGGACGAAAGCUAGGGUCUCGAACCGGAUUAGAUACCCGGGUAGUCCUAGCCGUAAACAAUGUUCACUAGGUGUGGCACAGCUACGAGCCUGUGCUGUGCCGUAGGCAAGCCGAGAAGUGAACCGCUGGUAGUACGUCGCAGAUGAAACUUAAAUGGAUUGGCGGGGAGCACUACACGGAGGAGCUGCUGUUUAUGAUCUCCCCCCCCCGGAAA
rnacentral:rRNA from 1 species